rnacentral:misc_RNA from 1 species
UGGUUCUGGCAUCGAUGAAGAACGCAGCGAAAUGCGAUAAGUAAUGUGAAUUGCAGAAUUCAGUGAAUCAUCGAAUCUUUGAACGCACAUUGCGCCCUCUGGUAUUCCGGGGGGCAUGCCUGUUCGAGCGUCGUUACUCACACUUCGAGCCCCUAUUCCGUAGGGAGCACGGUACCUCGGGGGGCCGCCCCGCUCCGGUGGAGGCGCCCCCGCAAAUCAGCGGCGGCUCGGCGAGAUUCCCAGCGCAGUAGAACUUUUCAGUCUCGCUGUGGACCCUCUCCCCGGGUACGCCGGUCAACCCCCACUGCCGGGGCACACGGCAUGCUAGCGACCAAUCGACCUCGGAUCAGGUAGGAAUACCCGCUGA